CCUACGGGAGGCUGCAGUGAGGAAUAUUGGUCAAUGGACGCAAGUCUGAACCAGCCAUGCCGCGUGCAGGAUGACGGCCCUAUGAGUUGUAAACUGCUUUUGUACGAGGGUAAACCCCGAUACGUGUAUCGGGUUGAAAGUAUCGUACGAAUCAGCAUCGGCUAACUCCGUGCCAGCAGCCGCGGUAAUACGGAGGAUCCGAGCGUUAUCCGGAUUUAUUGGGUUUAAAGGGUGAGUAGGCGGUUUGAUAAGUUCGAGGUGAAAUUUAGGUGCUCAACCCCGAAAGUGCCUCUAAUACUGUUGGACUAGAGAAUAGUUGCGGUAGGCGGAAUGUAUGGUGUAGCGGUGAAAUGCUUAGAGAUCAUACAGAACACCGAUUGCGAAGGCAGCUGA
rnacentral:rRNA from 1 species